UCCCUGGUAGUAUAUUGGUUAGUACACGCGCCUGUAUGCCCUUGUCCUAAUCACUUGUCCUAAUCCCAUGUCCCGCGCGAAAAGCUGGGUUCAACUCCCAGCCAGGGAG